GUGGAUGUCAAAACACCCAGGGUCCUGUUUUGAAGAGCAGCAGCCAAUCUGUCAAGACGUGUAUGACCUAGGAUGCUUCAGUGAGAUCUUCCAUCGAAACCCAGGAGAAUACGGGGCCCUAUCUCGUCAAUCUCGCAAAAGCAAGGUGAUAAUCAAAAUUAGAGACCAGAAGGUGAAAAAGAGAACAGAAGACAACACAGGAUCCGAAUAUAGCGAUCUGCUUCCCGAGAGUUUCCCCUCUUCACCAACAGAGCCACUUCCACGAUUCCAAGUGGAGCCAGAUGAUGCCUAUAUUGUCAAGAACAAGCCAGUUGUCAUGGCCUGCACCGCUACACCAGCCACCCAGAUCUACUUCAAGUGUAACGGGGAAUGGGUGCAUCAGAAGGACCAUGUGACUGAGGAGAAUGUGGAUCAGAUCACAGGACUGGUGGUCCGGGAAGUUCACAUCGAGGUCUCUCGGCAGCAGGUGGAAGAGCUGUUUGGUUUAGAAGACUUCUGGUGUCAGUGCGUCGCCUGGAGUGCUUCUGGCACGACCAAGAGCAGGAGAGCAUAUGUCCGCAUUGCCUACCUGAGGAAGAACUUUGAGCAGGAGCCAUUGGGAACAGACGUGUCCCUGGAGCAUGAGGUCCUGUUGCAAUGCCGCCCUCCAGAAGGAGUCCCACCAGCAGAGGUGGAGUGGCUAAAGAACGAUGAAGUUAUCGAUCCAGUGCAAGACUCGAACUUCCUCCUCACCAUCGACCACAACCUGAUUAUCAAACAGGCCCGCCUCUCCGAUACGGCAAACUACACGUGUGUGGCCAAGAACAUUGUGGCGAAAAGACGUAGCACCACGGCCACAGUGGUUGUAUACGUGAAUGGUGGCUGGUCGACCUGGACAGAGUGGUCUUCGUGCACUAACCGCUGUGGCCGGGGCUGGCAGAAACGGACAAGGACGUGCACCAACCCAGCACCCCUCAACGGCGGGGCCUUCUGUGAGGGACAAACCUUUCAGAAGAUCGGCUGCACCACCAUGUGCCCAGUUGACGGCGGGUGGACAGAUUGGAGCAAAUGGUCAGCCUGCAGUACCGAGUGCACCCACUGGAGGAGCCGUAAAUGCACCGAGCCCUCACCCAGAAAUGGAGGCAAGGAUUGCAUUGGUCCUGUUCUGGAGUCCAAAAACUGCACAGAUGGCCACUGUAUGCAGAAUAAAAAGUUUUUAAAUGAACAAAUAAGCUCUCCGAUGAGGAGCAAGGGCGAUGUUGCCUUGUAUGCAGGGUUGGUGGUGGCUGUGUUCAUCUUCCUGGUUAUAAUGCUGGUGCUCGGUAUCAUCGUAUACAGAAGGAGCUGCCGGGACUUUGACACUGGCAUCACCGAUUCCUCUGCCGCACUCACUGGAGGUUUCCAGCCCGUCAACUUCAAGACAGCCCGGCAUGAUAAUUCCCAGUUGUUGAACUCGUCAAUACAGCCUGACCUGACGGCCAGCGCUGGCUCAUACCGAGGACCCAUGUACACUCUUCAGGACACAGCUGACAAGAUUCCCAUGACAAACUCCCCACUCUUGGACCCCUUGCCCAGCCUGAAGAUCAAAGUAUACAACUCCUCGACGACCACCUCCAUGCUGGUGGGUGAGAUGGACUCAGGCACAUACCCUGGGGGCAACAGCAGCGACAGCAAUAUUACCAUGAACAUGAGGAACAAAGCCCUCAGCUCCCAGCACUUGGGCACCAUGCCCAGAGACCCUGGAUACAGUGCCAGUGGAACCUUUGGCUGUCUGGGCGGACGACUGACAGUGCCCAACUCAGGUGUCAGCUUAUUGGUACCACAGGGAGCAAUCCCACAGGGCAAGUUCUAUGAAAUGUACCUGAUAAUAAACAAGAGGGAAAACAUGCUGCCCCCAUCUGAAGGUUCACAGACGGUCCUGAGUCCAAUGGUGACAUGUGGCCCAACGGGCAUGUUGUUGUGUCGGCCUGUUGUCCUCAGUAUCCCUCACUGUGCAGACAUCUGCGGAUCUGACUGGACCAUUAAAUUCAAGACACAGACUCACCAGGCGGCAUGGGAGGAGGUGGUGACACUGGAAGAGGAGAAUUUAAAUACCCCCUGCUACUGUCAGCUGGACCCCCAGUCCUGCCACGUUUUGCUUGACCAAUUGGGCACGUAUGCCCUCGUGGGGGAGUCUGCCUCCAGGUCAGCCGUUAAAAGACUCCAGCUCGCCAUAUUUGCACCCAUCUCAUGCACAUCUCUGGAGUACAGCCUUAAAGUGUACUGUGUGGACGACACUCCAGAUGCUUUAAAGGAAGUGCUGGAGCUAGAGAGGACUCUGGGAGGUUACCUUCUUGAGGAACCCAAGACACUACUGUUUAAGGACAGUUACCACAAUCUCCGGCUGUCCAUUCACAAUAUCCCCCACUCGCUGUGGAGAAGCAAGUUGCUCGCCAAAUAUCAGGAAAUCCCGUUUUAUCAUAUUUGGAGUGGUACCCAGAGAGCAUUGCACUGCACCUUCUCACUGGAGCGAUACAGCCUGGCAUCCACGGAAUUCUCCUGCAAAAUCUGUGUCCGACAGGUGGAGGGGGAAGGUCAGAUAUUCCAGCUACAUACAACCAUUGAAGAGAAUGCCAAAUGUGUUAGCCCAUUCCACACGCAGGGUGGCACCAACAUUACCACACAGGUCGGCCCUUAUGCCUUUAAGAUUCCAUAUUCCAUCCGGCAGAAAAUCUGUACGAAUUUGGAUGCACCAAAUACCCGAGGGAAUGACUGGAGGCUCUUAGCUGAGAAGCUGGGGGUGGACAGAUAUCUCACCUAUUUUGCUACAAAACUUAGUCCGACUGGCGUCAUCCUGGACCUGUGGGAAGCCCAGCAUCAGGAUGAUGGAGACAUCAACUCCCUUGCCAGUGUCCUCGAGGAGAUGGGCAAGAGUGACGUGAUGGUAGUCAUGACAACAGAAGAAUGCUGAAAGAUGGAUAACUUUACAAUGUAGUGAUGGAUCCCCAGCAUCCAUGGCAACUGUUAGAGAAAUCCACCUGCUGCUGACUGCAGCACCAAGCCAAUUAGGAACGAGUAGCAAUUUUUACAUGAGAGCUGAAGAUGUCAUGUUCGAUCCAGACAGAAAAAAAACCCUCUCUCCUCUCAAAAGCUUUGGGCAGCUUGUAUAACGUUAACAGUUUCUUAGGAAACGCAUUUAAUUUAUUGUCCAUAUCUUUGGAUGCUCUUUUUUUUUGUUCGCUCCUAUGUUGAGACUUUGUAUAAAAACCUGAGGAUUUGUUUACAUUCACAGCCAAUGUAGACAUCCCUCAAAAUCCCAGUGCACAUGUUGCACAAAUCAGAACAGGGAGAGGAAUCCAAUUGAGUUGCUCAACAAAACUAUACGAGAGGAAGAGGAUGAAUUGUGAAUGUUGGCAGAUGUCACAGAGUCAUGUUAAUGCCUUUCAUUUUAUUAUUAUGUUGCAAACACAGUUUCUCCAUACAGACAAGGACAUGGACAGACAAGGACAGCCAUACAGGUUUCUCACAAGCCAUGACUGCAGAAACACAACUUGGAUCUAAAAGUGGUUUUUAAAGCUUUUCCCUCUCUCUCUCUCUCUUUUUGAUACAAGCUCAUUAGUUAUGGUUGAGGAUGGCAGUGGCUGAGCUUGUUCUGCAUUCACUGUCCACAAUGUCACAACAGCGUUUCCAGUAAGUCAGUCAGUAAGUGCAGAGGAAUGGCGUUUGAUGGUUAGUGGGCAUUCACCCAGUAAUAUCAACUGCAAUCAUUUCCAGGCUAGCAACCAGCAUUUCUGCUCAAAGGAUUUGUUCAUCUACUGCAGUUAUACUGCUGACCUCCUGCCUCUUUCCCCUUCACCACAUUGCCCCAGCUCUCCAUCGACACACACAGGAGUGAUUCCUACUCCAGGCUGCGCUAAUUGAUACCAGGAUUUAAGGACGCUCAUGAAGUGAAGCAAUAGUCAAUCAUCGUAGGGACCUACCAUUUCCCAGGAGAAAUAAGCCUGAUUCAUAAGCUUGCAAAGUCCUCACCGGCGAAAUGGCCAGAUCCACGCACACAUGAGGAAUGAACAUCCAACUUCUUGGCUUGAAGAAAUAUGGGCCUGGAGAUUUGAUUGUGUCACCAUGUCUUUGUUACUUUAAAGCACAUUGUCAGCGUUAAACUGUUCUUAAACUGCAGUCCCAUUUUUGUUCCUCUGAAUUUUCAUUUCAACAUCAAAAGUUAUUGAAGUGGAAAGUUAGGUGGAAAGCAUGGAGGAAGCAUAUGGAUGGGUUCUGACACUAUCUGACGUAUUCCUCCAUAACAGGGGCUUUAUUCAGAGAUGUGAUUUCCUCUUCUGGCUACAGCUCCCGCAUUCCCAACCUCCAUCCACUCCACCUCACCUUCAAAACCUCAAGCCGCUGCAAGCUGGAGUUCCGAGAAUGUUUAACCGUCGAUUUCCUUUGCCCACAAACUGGAAGAAUUGUAAAGCCAUGUUCAAAGCCUGAGGUCAGUUCCCAGAGAGAGCUGUGGACUUGGAUGAGGCGAAGGUGCAUCAUGUGGGGAGCUGGCCUCCUCAGGUCAGAGGUUGAAAGGGAAGCACUCACCGGGAGACAAUGCAACCCGAGAUCAUUUUCUUGUCAGAACGUCUCUUGCAUAGGGAAGCCUUCACAUGGUCUCACUCUGCAUCUGGUGUUGAGGAUCAGUAUUCAAUGAUGUCUUAUUCCAAACUUGCCUUUAAAUAAAAACACCUUUGGUUUUUGUCAUGUCCUCAUCGAGAUAUUUGAUAGUAAAAGCCAAUAGACAUCGAAAGGUGGGUACACCAUUAGAAACAUCUUAAGUUGAGUAAAUGGUCAAGCCAACCCAAGAAAUUGGGUGAUUGUGGGAGUGUGCAUUUUUGAUGCUAUGGUAGUGUCAAUAAGAGUAUGAGAUACACAAGGCUGCACCAUCAAAAGUGACACUAAUUUGUGUUAUUUGUAAAUGUUGUUUAAAUGUUUAAGUACUUGGUAGCAUGGCACAUUUUGAUUUAUUUAUUUUCAAGGUGGUUUGGACAAAUAUAUUUUAAAUUCAUCAUUGUGUUAAUUUUAAUUGUUAAGUGUCUGAUUCAGAAAGUGAAGUAUCAGACAUUAAUUAUCAGCCUUAGUCUGGCUUGUGGGGAGAAAGAACCUUCAUACUUUUUGCCUAAUCCAAAUCAGACACCUGUGUAUAAAGAAAUCCACUUAUAAUUCCAUGAUUGGGUUGACAACUCUCCCCGGAUUGCUCUGGAAUCUUCCGCUUUUGAAAGUUAAUCUCCGGGGUCCCGCUACGAGUAAGGCCCAGGAAGAGAUUCACAGGGCUUCUAGAGAACUUGUAUCUCCCAGUUUCUUUGAGUGCAUCUUUUUGUUAGUUAUAAAAACGUAUGGCCGGGGAAGGGGGGGUGGGGUGUUGGGUGGAGCUUAAUGGGAGAAGGGCUGUUCAAUCUGGUAGAGGGAACAAGAACAAGGGUGGUCACGUGCUGGAAAUUUCCAGGAGUGCACCCACCCAGCACUGACACCCCUCCUUCCAAAGAGCUGAUGAAAGAGAGGUCGAUCUCUCCCCAUAUGCAAACCAACAACUAUCUAAACCACACACUCCUUAUUAAAUAUUUCAAUCAAGUUUUAUCGACGUGUAGCGGUGAGCUUUUAAAAGUAAAGAAUCCUCAGUUUAGAUGACAAUAUAUAGUUUUUAUAAAAUUAUAUUUGAACAAUCCAUGAUGGCUACUGGUGUGCAUUUCAAUAAUGGUGUAACUGAGACUCUGGACCUAAAUAAGAGCAAUCCUGCUUAUUGCAGAGAGGGGUGGUUGGCGCUAACUUUUAGAUGGCUAUGGCCAGCAUUUUUCAGUAUUCAUUGAUUAAAAGCGGCUGAAGGUGUUUUAGUGAACAGUAAAUCCUCUUUUUCCCAUAUAAAGGGUAACAUGACACCAAGCAGUUAGCAAAAUAAUGCUUUAAUUUCUUUCAUUCACUCCAAGUGCUAUGCAAGUUCAUAGAAGUUAAUUCAUUUUCAGGCAUAUCGUGAUGCUUCAGUUUUUAUGUACACCUUUCAUAUUUAUAUGUAUAGAAAGUGCUAGAAUCAACUGCUCUGUCCCUCUUUUCAUGUAUUGUUCAUUCUGUAAACUACCAAUUGUAAAUAAGUUUAGCAUUCCUAUUGUAACAAAUUAAUUUUUAUGCAAUAAAUUAUAUUUCCUAGUUUAA